rnacentral:rRNA from 1 species
AACGCGAAGAACCUUACCCGGGCUCGAACGGCGGGGGAAUGGACCAGAGAUGGUCCAGUCUUCGGACUCCUGUCGAGGUGCUGCAUGGUUGUCGUCAGCUCGUGCCGUGAGGUGUCGGCUUAAGUGCCAUAACGAGCGCAACCCUUGCUGUCAGUUACCACCAGGUUAAGCUGGGGACUCUGACAGGACUGCCGCCGUAAGGUGUGAGGAAGGUGGGAAUGACGUCAAAUCAGCACGGCCCUUACGUCCGGGGCGACACACGUGUUACAAUGGGCCAUACAGAGGGCAGCCAGGCGGCGACGCCGCGCAAAUCCCAAAAGUGGCUCUCAGUUCGGACUGGAGUCUGCAACUCGACUCCACGAAGUUGGAUUCGCUAGUAAUCGCGCAUCAGCCAUGGCGCGGUGAAUACGUUCCCGGGUCUUGUACACACGC